rnacentral:sRNA from 1 species
UUGAGCGAAGCGAAACAACGGAGCCGCUCGCGGCGACGGCCCGAAGGGCGAGCGAAGCGAGUCAUCCUGCACGACCCACCA